AUGGUGCGAGCAUAUGGUUUGCAACUUGUGAUUACCUGCUGCAGCCCCUUUCCAGCUUUUCUCCUCACGCACCCAAACCGGAGUCGCGGCUGCCCCCCUUUAAGAGAUCCGACAGUGCUGUGGAAGUUCCCUCAGGACUUUGGAGACCAGGUUGGAGACAGAGGAACUUUUUUUUUCUCUCCAUCCCCCCCACCCACAAGCACCACAUCCACGACCCCUCCUGCUCCUAAAGGCUUCCCUCCUUCCCCUCUCCCUUCAUUUUCUCUGUCUCUCUCUCUGCCAUGCAGUGUGAUGUUGCUGAUAAUGAAAUGCAGUGAGCAGGUCUUCAAUAAGCGUUGUUCUGGUAAUUAUCAGCUGGCUGUGAUGUGAAUGGGUGCGGAUGGAGCUUCAUCGUACACCCACUGCUGUACCUCACACCAGUACAGCUGUGUGUCGCUCAUGAGCUGGUACUAUAUCACACUAGUAAUGCAUAAUAGAGAGUAAUAUACCAGCCUAAACAGUCAAUAUUUGGCUGUUUUGAGAUGAUCACUUCACAUUCUACCUUGUGUCUACACCAAAAUGUAGUUUUUAAAUGUUUUUUUUUUUUUAGAUAUUAAUUAAAAAAAAAAUUAUUUAGAAUUUUUUUUAAAAAUAAUUUAGUGAUAUUAAUAUUUUGUCUAAAGGUAUUUUUUUAUUUUAUUUUAAAAUAAAUGUAUUAAAAAUCGAACA
ensembl:lncRNA